AUUUGAGUGGGAAUCUCAAAGCAGUUGAGUAGGCAGAAAAAAGAACCUCUUCAUUAAGGAUUAAAAUGUAUAGGCCAGCACGUGUAACUUCGACUUCAAGAUUUCUGAAUCCAUAUGUAGUAUGUUUCAUUGUCGUCGCAGGGGUAGUGAUCCUGGCAGUCACCAUAGCUCUACUUGUUUACUUUUUAGCUUUUGAUCAAAAAUCUUACUUUUAUAGGAGCAGUUUUCAACUCCUAAAUGUUGAAUAUAAUAGUCAGUUAAAUUCACCAGCUACACAGGAAUACAGGACUUUGAGUGGAAGAAUUGAAUCUCUGAUUACUAAAACAUUCAAAGAAUCAAAUUUAAGAAAUCAGUUCAUCAGAGCUCAUGUUGCCAAACUGAGGCAAGAUGGUAGUGGUGUGAGAGCGGAUGUUGUCAUGAAAUUUCAAUUCACUAGAAAUAACAAUGGAGCAUCAAUGAAAAGCAGAAUUGAGUCUGUUUUACGACAAAUGCUGAAUAACUCUGGAAACCUGGAAAUAAACCCUUCAACUGAGAUAACAUGUAAGUAUAAUUUUUCAUAAACAAUUUUAUUUCAAUAUAUCCCUCAAGUUUACCAAUUCAAAUUCAUAUUUUAAUUGAGAGGCUGACUUUUCUUUCUUUGAAACUAAACUGUGAAAACAAUCCAUUAAAAAGCUAAAU
rnacentral:lncRNA from 1 species